CACACCGCCCGUCACACCACGAGAGUUUGUAACACCCGAAGCCGGUGGAGUAACCUUUUAGGAGCUAGCCGUCGAAGGUGGGACAAAUGAUUGGGGUGAAGUCGUAACAAGGUAGCCGUAUCGGAAGGUGCGGCUGGAUCACCUCCUUUCUAAGGA
rnacentral:rRNA from 3 species